GCCCAAGCCAGCCAGGAAGGAGGAGGCAGCCAGACUGGCCACCACUGUUCUCUGCAGCAGCAGACCCCUGCGGAACCCAGCAUUUGCCAGUUUCACUGCCUGUGAAGAGUCAAGGGAAGAUACACAUGAGGAUGGCUUCGCUGGCCAGAUACUCCGAGAACUGGAAGCCCUGUCUGUAAAGACACAUUACAGGUUCCCCAACUCUAUCAGCAGCAGUCAGUGAUGAGAAGAGAGAAACUCAUUACAAGGUGACAUCCCAUCACAAGAAGUGCUGCAGCAGGAGGAGGAGAAGAAGGGAGAACUCUACACAGGAGUGACAUUUUUAGCUUCCGUGGCUUUAACAACUGGAUGACCUGCAGAAAGCUUCUUCGGCACAGAGAUGCAAUGAUGGGAAAAGCUGUAUCUGCAUUUCUGCUUGUCAUGCAGCAGCUGGUUAAAGACGCAGAAAAAUCGUGGCAACUAAUAGUGCACUGGUUCUUGGACAAUGGACCUAAUCUAGCUUGAGUGAAGGAAGAAGAGGAAAGAACAAACCCUACCUGAUUCCUGUGAUCCCAUUUAGAAUGGCUUUCUGCCAAGAUUUGCCUUUAGAUCAGACACAAAACUGGUCAGCCACAGAGCAUGAGAGCAGAUAAGCAGCCCAGAGGCCCUCGGAAAACAGAGCAGCCAGCAGAGAGUGCAAAUUCCGAAAGUGAGCUCAGCUUGCUGUGUUCAAGAUUUCAUAGAGAACCAAAAGAAGGAAGUGCUCUUGACUUUAGAAAAUAGUUCCCUGGGCUUCUGCGUGACAGACAGAUCUUCAUCAAGUGAAACUGACAAUUAUAUCCUUAGAAUCACAGCCUGGUUACAACUCAUGUCUUGUAGAAGCUCAAACACCUACAAGAUUGAAUUCCACGCUUCCUACAAAAUACAGCCCAAUACAGUAUCCUGGGCUCUGUUUGCAGCGAAACACUUUAUCAUCUGAUCUGGCUAUGGUUUUCUGCAAAGCUUCAAUGGCAGCUGUAGGAAAUCUUGAGUACACAGAGCAAGCACCAACCUUGCCAAUGUUCCUAGUGACACAAAGCAGGUCAGUCCCAUGCUGCACUGCCUGUACUCUGUGCUCCAGUGACGAGAAAUUGAGGUCAGGAGCAUAAAACCGAAGGGCCUUUGGUGAGCCAGCAUUCCUCACUGCCCUUUCUCCAAGAGAUUCAAGGUAGUGUACAUGGAGUUAUCUUGCUUUCUUCCCAAAAUAAACCUCUGAGAUAGGCGAAGCUCCGAGAUAGUAGCGUGCCCUCUGACAAUUGACUGAUGAAAACAGGGACAUGCCAGUGGAUAUGAAGGGGACAAGUCCAAGCAAUGUGGGAGGCUCAGGGUGCAAUGUGUAGCUGGGAUGCAUGGCGUACAAAUGAAAAACUGGCAAUAAAGUGCAAGCAGAGGUG